rnacentral:rRNA from 1 species
UUGCCUCAGUAACGGCGAGUGAAGCGGCAAGAGCUCAAAUUUGAAAUCUGGCCCCUCCGGGGUCCGAGUUGUAAUUUGCAGAGGAUGCUUCGGGUGCGGCCCCUGUCUAAGUGCCCUGGAACGGGCCGUCAGAGAGGGUGAGAAUCCCGUCUUGGGCAGGGUGCCCGUGCCCGUGUGAAGCUCCUUCGACGAGUCGAGUUGUUUGGGAAUGCAGCUCAAAAUGGGUGGUAAAUUUCAUCUAAAGCUAAAUACCGGCCGGAGACCGAUAGCGCACAAGUAGAGUGAUCGAAAGAUGAAAAGCACUUUGAAAAGAGAGUUAAACAGCACGUGAAAUUGUUGAAAGGGAAGCGCUUGCAACCAGACUCGGCCUCGGGGUUCAGCCAGCAUUCGUGCUGGUGUACUUCCCCGGGGCCGGGCCAGCGUCGGUUUGGGCGGCCGGUCAAAGGCCCCAGGAAUGUAUCGUCCUCCGGGACGUCUUAUAGCCUGGGGUGCAAUGCGGCCAGCCUGGACCGAGGAACGCGCUUCGGCACGGACGCUGGCGUAAUGGUCGCAAACGACCCGUCUUGAAACACGGACCAAGGAGUCUAACAUCUACGCGAGUGUUCGGGUGUCAAACCCGUACGCGCAGUGAAAGCGAACGGAGGUGGGAGCCCCCCCGGGGCGCACCAUCGACCGAUCCUGAUGUCUUCGGAUGGAUUUGAGUACGAGCGUAGCUGUGGGGACCCGAAAGAUGGUGAACUAUGCCUGAAUAGGGUGAAGCCAGAGGAAACUCUGGUGGAGCUCGCAGCGGUUCUGACGUGCAAAUCGAUCGUCAAUUUGGGUAUAGGGGCGAAAGACU